rnacentral:misc_RNA from 1 species
GGCAUCGAUCCGGCGAUCACCGGGGAGCCUUCGGAAGAACGGCCGGUUAGGCCCAGUAGAACCGAACGGGUUGGCCCGUCACAGCCUCAAGUCGAGCGGCCGCGCGAAAGCGUGGCAAGCGGGGUGGCACCGCGGCGUUCGCGCGAAAGCGUGGCGUCGUCCCCGC